ACGACAUUCUAAAACUUGGGGUAAUAAUCUUUUAUUCAGUACCAAUCUGUUUAUUCACACAUACAUAUUUAUAUAUAUGAUCGUAAGUUUACUUAAUUAUAUCAUCCUCUUCCAUUAGGUUUUUUAUUGUAUCCUCCACGUCCAUCAGGUUUUUCAUUAUAUCCACUUCGACCAGUCGGAUUUUCAUUGUUAGGUUUUUUAUUGUAUCCUCCGCGUCCAUCAGGUUUUUCAUUAUAUCCACUUCGACCAGUCGGAUUUUCAUUGUAUGCUCCUCGUCCAUCAGGGUAUUCAUUAUAUCCACUUCUACCGGUUGUAGUUUCAGCUAACAGAGUUCUUCGUCCUAACAAUUAAAAAAUGAAAUUAAUCCAAUAAUUAGUAAUCAUCACUUUUAUUUUUUUUUUUUUUCUUUAUAAAACCAUAAGUAUGAUUGUCACUUGUAAUCUACAAGGCUUUUAAAAUAGUAAUAAUAAAGAAAUUGAAAUAAUAUUGCAUUGAAAUGGAAUAACAAACUUGAAAAAAAAAAUCAAGAAAGAAUUAAAUAGCUUGACACUUUACAACUAUAUAUAUAUCAUGCAAAUUAGAAAUAUUUUUAAAAAUAAAUAAAUAAAUAAAUGCUUGGUAAGUCUAAGUGAACAAAC
rnacentral:lncRNA from 1 species